GGCCAUCCCGGCUUACCAACCCGAUGCAAACUGCGAAUACCGGAGAAUGUUAUCACGGGAGACACACGGCGGGUGCUAACGUCCGUCGUGAAGAGGGAAACAACCCAGACCGCCAGCUAAGGUCCCAAAGUCAUGGUUAAGUGGGAAACGAUGUGGGAAGGCCCAGACAGCCAGGAUGUUGGCUUAGAAGCAGCCAUCAUUUAAAGAAAGCGUAAUAGCUCACUGGUCGAGUCGGCCUGCGCGGAAGAUGUAACGGGGCUAAACCAUGCACCGAAGCUGCGGCAGCGACACUAUGUGUUGUUGGGUAGGGGAGCGUUCUGUAAGCCUGUGAAGGUGGCCUGUGAGGGUUGCUGGAGGUAUCAGAAGUGCGAAUGCUGACAUAAGUAACGAUAAAGCGGGUGAAAAGCCCGCUCGCCGGAAGACCAAGGGUUCCUGUCCAACGUUAAUCGGGGCAGGGUGAGUCGACCCCUAAGGCGAGGCCGAAAGGCGUAGUCGAUGGGAAACGGGUUAAUAUUCCCGUACUUGGUGUUACUGCGAAGGGGGGACGGAGAAGGCUAUGUUGGCCGGGCGACGGUUGUCCCGGUUUAAGCGUGUAGGUGUGUGUUCCAGGUAAAUCCGGUUCACUUUAACACUGAGGCGUGAUGACGAGGCACUACGGUGCUGAAGCAACAAAUGCCCUGCUUCCAGGAAAAGCCUCUAAGCAUCAGGUAACAUCAAAUCGUACCCCAAACCGACACAGGUGGUCAGGUAGAGAAUACCAAGGCGCUUGAGAGAACUCGGGUGAAGGAACUAGGCAAAAUGGUGCCGUAACUUCGGGAGAAGGCACGCUGACAUGUAGGUGAAGUGAUUUACUCAUGGAGCUGAAGUCAGUCGAAGAUACCAGCUGGCUGCAACUGUUUAUUAAAAACACAGCACUGUGCAAACACGAAAGUGGACGUAUACGGUGUGACGCCUGCCCGGUGCCGGAAGGUUAAUUGAUGGGGUCAGCGCAAGCGAAGCUCCUGAUCGAAGCCCCGGUAAACGGCGGCCGUAACUAUAACGGUCCUAAGGUAGCGAAAUUCCUUGUCGGGUAAGUUCCGACCUGCACGAAUGGCGUAAUGAUGGCCAGGCUGUCUCCACCCGAGACUCAGUGAAAUUGAACUCGCUGUGAAGAUGCAGUGUACCCGCGGCAAGACGGAAAGACCCCGUGAACCUUUACUAUAGCUUGACACUGAACAUUGAGCCUUGAUGUGUAGGAUAGGUGGGAGGCUUUGAAGUGUGGACGCCAGUCUGCAUGGAGCCGACCUUGAAAUACCACCCUUUAAUGUUUGAUGUUCUAACGUGGACCCGUAAUCCGGGUUGCGGACAGUGUCUGGUGGGUAGUUUGACUGGGGCGGUCUCCUCCUAAAGAGUAACGGAGGAGCACGAAGGUUGGCUAAUCCUGGUCGGACAUCAGGAGGUUAGUGCAAUGGCAUAAGCCAGCUUGACUGCGAGCGUGACGGCGCGAGCAGGUGCGAAAGCAGGUCAUAGUGAUCCGGUGGUUCUGAAUGGAAGGGCCAUCGCUCAACGGAUAAAAGGUACUCCGGGGAUAACAGGCUGAUACCGCCCAAGAGUUCAUAUCGACGGCGGUGUUUGGCACCUCGAUGUCGGCUCAUCACAUCCUGGGGCUGAAGUAGGUCCCAAGGGUAUGGCUGUUCGCCAUUUAAAGUGGUACGCGAGCUGGGUUUAGAACGUCGUGAGACAGUUCGGUCCCUAUCUGCCGUGGGCGCUGGAGAACUGAGGGGGGCUGCUCCUAGUACGAGAGGACCGGAGUGGACGCAUCACUGGUGUUCGGGUUGUCAUGCCAAUGGCACUGCCCGGUAGCUAAAUGCGGAAGAGAUAAGUGCUGAAAGCAUCUAAGCACGAAACUUGCCCCGAGAUGAGUUCUCCCUGAGACUUUAGGUCUCCUGAAGGAACGUUGAAGACGACGACGUUGA
rnacentral:rRNA from 1 species